UACAGAGGUCUCAAGCGUUGUUCGGAUUCAUUGGGCGUAAAGGGUGCGUAGGCGGCUCGGUAAGUCGGGUGUGAAAUCUCAGGGCUCAACCCUGAAACUGCACUUGAUACUGCUCUGCUUGAGGACUGGAGAGGAGACUGGAAUUCACGGUGUAGCAGUGAAAUGCGUAGAUAUCGUGAGGAAGACCAGUGGCGAAGGCGGGUCUCUGGACAGUUCCUGACGCUGAGGCGCGAAGGCCAGGGGAGCAAACGGG
rnacentral:rRNA from 1 species